UACGUAGGGGGCUAGCGUUGUCCGGAAUCAUUGGGCGUAAAGCGCGUGUAGGCGGUCCGGUAAGUCCGCUGUGAAAGUCGGGGGCUCAACCCUCGGAUGCCGGUGGAUACUGUCGGGCUUGAGUACGGAAGAGGCGAGUGGAAUUCCUGGUGUAGCGGUGAAAUGCGCAGAUGUCAGGAGGAACACCAGCGGCGAAGGCGCCGCUCUGGGCCGUAACUGACGCUGAGGAGCGAAAGCAUGGGUAGCAAACAGG
rnacentral:rRNA from 1 species